ACUCAGGUGUUGUUGGGUAGGGGAGCGUUCUGUAAGCCUGUGAAGGUGGCCUGUGAGGGUUGCUGGAGGUAUCAGAAGUGCGAAUGCUGACAUAAGUAACGAUAAAGCGGGUGAAAAGCCCGCUCGCCGGAAGACCAAGGGUUCCUGUCCAACGUUAAUCGGGGCAGGGUGAGUCGACCCCUAAGGCGAGGCCGAAAGGCGUAGUCGAUGGGAAACGGGUUAAUAUUCCCGUACUUGGUGUUACUGCGAAGGGGGGACGGAGAAGGCUAUGUUGGCCGGGCGACGGUUGUCCCGGUUUAAGCGUGUAGGUGUGUGUUCCAGGUAAAUCCGGUUCACUUUAACACUGAGGCGUGAUGACGAGGCACUACGGUGCUGAAGCAACAAAUGCCCUGCUUCCAGGAAAAGCCUCUAAGCAUCAGGUAACAUCAAAUCGUACCCCAAACCGACACAGGUGGUCAGGUAGAGAAUACCAAGGCGCUUGAGAGAACUCGGGUGAAGGAACUAGGCAAAAUGGUGCCGUAACUUCGGGAGAAGGCACGCUGACAUGUAGGUGAAGUGAUUUACUCAUGGAGCUGAAGUCAGUCGAAGAUACCAGCUGGCUGCAACUGUUUAUUAAAAACACAGCACUGUGCAAACACGAAAGUGGACGUAUACGGUGUGACGCCUGCCCGGUGCCGGAAGGUUAAUUGAUGGGGUCAGCGCAAGCGAAGCUCCUGAUCGAAGCCCCGGUAAACGGCGGCCGUAACUAUAACGGUCCUAAGGUAGCGAAAUUCCUUGUCGGGUAAGUUCCGACCUGCACGAAUGGCGUAAUGAUGGCCAGGCUGUCUCCACCCGAGACUCAGUGAAAUUGAACUCGCUGUGAAGAUGCAGUGUACCCGCGGCAAGACGGAAAGACCCCGUGAACCUUUACUAUAGCUUGACACUGAACAUUGAGCCUUGAUGUGUAG
rnacentral:rRNA from 2 species